rnacentral:lncRNA from 1 species
CCCCUCUUCCUUUUGAAAACUCACUUAUACCCUAUGGGUUUAACCCCUUCAGGUAGGUCAACCAAUGUCUAUACAUUAUUGACCUUCAUGGACUCCAUUUCAGAUUUCAUAACUUUAAGCUAUUUCUCAGAGUCAGACCUCUACAUCAUAUCCAUAUAGGUAAUUGGAACAUUAUCAUUCUCAUCGAGUUCAAUAGGAUCUCCGUCUCAGACCAAGAAACCUAAGUAUCUGUCCAACUGACGUGAUACUCUACUGGAUCGCCUUAAGGAUAUUUGUAUAUUGGGCUCUAAGUUUGAUCUUAU